AACCAUAGAAACCUGCGGAGUACCUGCGGAAGGAUCAUUACAGAGUUGCAAAACUCCCUAAACCAUUGUGAACGUUACCUAAACCGUUGCCUCGGCGGGCGGCCCGGGUCCUUCCCGGCGCCCAUCGGCCCUCGCGGGCGCCCGCCGGAGGUAAACCAAACUAUUGCAUUGUAUGGCCUCUCUGAGUCUUCUGUACUGAAUAAGUCAAAACUUUUAACAACGGAUCUCAGAUCGGAAGAG
rnacentral:misc_RNA from 1 species